ensembl:lncRNA
CUUUUCAGAAGGAGGAAGAUGCACUUAACUGAUUGUGACCCAGUGUGGUGCUGAGGAAGCGCUGGGCUUCCAGCAAACAAAGCUGGAUCCAGGGCCUAACUGGGCCACUCACUGGAGCGUAGUCUGGGUGAGUGAGGUGUUCACUGCUCCUCUGUAUCAAGGGCCCCAUUUGGAAAAUGGGAAUAAUGACUUCUGCCCUGUCUGUUCUCUGAAGUAGAGAAAGAUGGGAACGUGCUUUGUAACCUGCAAAAGGAAGACACUUCCCCUUUGUGCUGGCGUCAUCGAGGAUGGGGUCCUGCCCAAGCCCUUGCCCCACAUGGGGGUAGCCAGGCCUGUUGGCCAAGCCCUGAAGUCUGCGUGUCCAUAUGGAAACAGUCCUGGAUUCACUGCAAGAUUGGCAUCCGCCUAUGCCAAUUUGUAAAUACUUUUGGAAAUGCCCUUUGCCCAGGAGGCACUUGGCGAAACCUCUUGCUUACUGUGUGGCCAGCCAGCCGUAGGAGAGGUUGAAGGUGAGCAGAGCUGGGAAGGCAGUGAGUGACCCCGGGGAGAGGUGACGAGGAGGCCCCAGCAGGAAGGGCGGUUCGAGGUCUUUCCUGGACGGUGCACGAGACGAACCCGUUCCCCACCUGCUCGUCCCACUCUAGCUCGGGCCUUGCCAAGCUUCUGGGUGAGGCCGUGUGCUCUGGCACAACCCGUGUUUCCCUUUCCAAACCUUAAGCCCGGUGCUGUUCCCACAGCCCAGCUCGGCAGGCUUGUGCUGCGGAACCAGAGGAGGCAGCCUGAUUGGCCGGGCAGGCACGGUGCUGCGGGGCCCCUGGCCUGACCACCCAACAGGUCAGAGCCGUUAAAGCAGGGCAGGACCCGAGAGGGGGGACUGAGAUGCACGAUCGCUCACCCAUCCCCGCAAGGCUGAGGAUCUGCACAAACCUGCUGUCGGUGACGUUUUUCUUGAGAACAUUGGAGAAAUCUGAAUGUUGAAUGAGUGUUACAAAAGGUGAAACUUGACUGACAUGGAAAGCUGGAUUGUUAACUGAAAAAAGUUUAAAAAUGCAUAUAUGGUGUGAUCUCAUUUUGGACAAAAUAAUAAUGAAUAUGUACCAUAGGUGUUAAUAGUGAUAUUGAUUGGGUGCUAAAAAUCUUUUCCCCUUAUUUUUUCUUAUUUUUGUGGCUCUAUGUUUUCUCACACUUAAGUUUUUUUGGU